CACCUAUAGAACCAGGUGAGACGUGGCGAGGAACAAGGCAAGCAUUUCCCGCCUGAGCUUAGCCACAGGAACAAGCCACUCACCUGAGGGUUCCUUACGCCUGAUUGGUCCUAAAUAUUGGGUUAACGAGUGUGACGUGAUUGGCACGGAGGUCGUCCGACUCGCCCGAGGGAGUCGCACAUAGCCAACUUAUUAUCCUCGGGACGGAGGUGUAGAAGCAGGUGCGUACGAAGAUGAGUACGGCGCCGACGCGAGUGACGACAGAACAACAAACACUCGUGAACUACUAGCUACGCUCCGAUAUAUGUGCCAGUGCCAAAGCGUGAGCAAACAGUUUUGCAAUGUGGUGUUUGUGGUGAGUGUACGACCUAUAGAAAAUGGUGUGUGAAACUGUUCACAAAUGAUUCAAUGUCGAUGCGGAAUCUUAAGGUCACUAUUUAAAGGUAUAUU
rnacentral:lncRNA from 1 species